UCUACUUGACUGUGGACCAGUACAUGGAGGUAAAAAUCUAAUUUAGCAGCUCAUUCUGGUGUUAAUGUAAUUUUGUGCUAACGCUUAGAUGCAGGUAACUCUUCCAUGGAUGGAACACCGGUCACAGGCUUACAAGGCUUUGUGUGAGGUAUGGGCUUCGCCAGAGUGGAUUGAGAAGUCAAACAGGAAUCAACAUAGGCAGCACCAUCAGUAGGACGGGGACAUUGAUGAGGUCGUAGUCAACCAUACCUAUGGGGCUGAUGAACACAUUAGGUUGGCGAAGCGAAUGGAGGCUCAAACUGGAGUUGUCCUAAGCCUAAUCGAUGUUUAUAGGCGAGGGCAUAGAGCGAAAAACAAUGAAAUCUCCGAUGAGCUAUGUAGUCAAGCGACAGUUGAGUGUAUGGUUAGUUGUUGUUAGUAUUAAUGUUUUCUUGCCAUAUAGCUAUACAUUACAUGUGUGCUGAACCUUCGUAUGGAGAAGACUAUAAUUUGCGAUGAGCACUUACCAUCGACGCUGAAGUUGUGCAUUAUACUGGAGGAAAGACCCAUGGACGGUAUUAACUUGUGAAUUUUUUUCAAUAAUAUUGAAACUAUGACCGAAUAGCUAAUUUUCUUGUUUUUCAAGAUAUUCUAUGUUUACCGGUGUGAUCGAUUCAACGAAGUUGCGGUCUCGUGGUGGCUCUUCGUCACAGGGGGUUGUGGUAGCAGCCGUAGUCGGCGCUCGAGCACGGAGGACGCUAUGAGGGAGAAGCAAGAAAGGUUUUGUGAAGAGCUGCGACAACAACAAAUGACAUUCCUCCAACAACAAUCAGAGUACAUGGCUGCUUACAACGCACAAGCGCAACAAGCAAUGAAUUCUUGGUUUCCAGAGCAGGCACAGCAGCAACC